GGACGAGGAUGCGCUCUCCAUUGGCUGCUGCGCGCGCUCGUCCCGCCCGCUCGCCGACCAUUCAAUAAACUUUCUCCCGGCUGCAGCUGCCUGGGUCGGGCAAAACAGCUGCAGCGACGCGCAGGUUGCGGGCUGCGAGAGGGAGAGCGCCAAAGGGGCGCUGGAUGGGCGUGUGCGUAAAAAGGGCUGGAGAGGAGCGCUGCUGCUGCUGCUGCUGCUGAGGCAGGGAGAAUGGUGAGGGUUAGGAGGAGGAAGAUGGCACCGCUGCCGCCGCCUCCAGCUGCCCUUUGAGCUCUCCGGAGGGAAGGAGGAGCCCUCGGCCCCACGUUCCUUCGACGGGCCGCCUCUGUCCCCGGGGAGAACCCAACGCCAGGUGUCUAUGGAUGUGCAGCGGAAGAAGAAAUGGACCAACCUCACCAUUGGCCUCCUUUUCCUGUCGGGAGGGAUUGAGUACGCUGUGAUCCUACCCACCCUCUGGGCUUACCUGCAAACUCUCAAUGCUGAGCCCUACUUCCUGGGCCUGGGCAUCUCUGCCUUUAGCUUUGCCGGGCUGAUCACAGGCCCGCUGUUUGGAUAUUGGUCUGACCGUACCCAUAAAACCAAGGCCAUCAUCCUCUUCGCCAACUUGUUUCAGAUAGCAGGGAACUUCAUGUACUUUGUUGGUGGUUCCAAAUGGAUGCUUCUGAGUGGUCGGCUGGUGGCAGGUGUGGGCACAGGAGCAGGAGCAUCCAUCUUUGGCUACCUCAGCCGAACCACCACGUCCCAGGAGCGCGCCACGGUGUUUGCGGCUGUCAUGGCAUGCCGGCAGGCUGGGCUACUCAUCGGGCCAGCUUGUAACCUGUUCCUGCGCCUCUGUAACUUCCAGGUGGGGCCCUUCGUGGUCGACAAGUUCACAUCGCCUGGGAUCUUCAUGUGCAUGGUGUGGCUGCUUCUGCAGAUCAUUGUUGCGACGCUGUACUACGAUCUGCCGCCACCGCCGUUGGGGCACUCCUCAAAGGCCCCGGCGGCGGCUGUGCGGGACGCUGUGGAAGAGGAGGAGGAGAAGCCUCUUGUGCAACAUGAGGAGGCAGCGGAGAGCAGCAGCUACGGCAGCACCUCCACAGAGCAUCGGGAAGCUGUUUCGGGUGACGAGGUUCGGUAUGUGCCCAAUGGGCACUUGGCUGAUGAAGAAGCCUCUUUGGAGAAGACUCCCGCCUAUAAUUUCAGCUCCAUGACAGAGUACCUGAGGGAAGAGGUGGUGGUUCUGCUGACAGCUCAGUUCAUUACGCUCUUCAAUCAAACUGCCCUAGAGACAAUGGUGACCCCAAUCACCCAGAAGUUCUUGAAUUUUGGGGAGCUGGAGAACAGCAUCAUGUAUUUCCUCUGCGGUGUGGAGGUCAUUGCUGGCUUCUUCCUGGUCCGCUGCCUGAGCACUCGCCUGUCUGACCGCAUCCUCUUGGUCCUUGGCCUGGUCAUCUGCAACAUAGCCUGUGCUUGGUGCCUGUUCUUCCUGGUUCGGCCCCGAGGUACCUUUACCAUCCUCCUUACAGAGUUGGUCGUGGGCGUUUUCCUGCAAGUCCUGGGCCUUCCCUUUGUUGCAGUCUCCCAAGUGUCGCUCUUUUCUAAAGUCACAGCCGAGAGAACACAAGGGUUCAGUCAGGGUCUCCGUCGCUCUGUAGGGGGCGUGGCCACCAUCCUUGGGCCUCUGUGGGCUGGAGGCUUGACCAACAACUUGGACAUCAUGCUGGGGGUGAUGAUGGGUCUGCUGAGUCUCCUCACGAUCAUGGUGGGGCUCUCAUAUGCAUACCUGGUGGAGCCGCCCAGAAGAUACGUGUCAUCGCAAACAUCUGAAGAUGAAUGCAGCUCAUGACAGCCCCGGCGGAUGGAGGUGCUUCUGAAGGAACAGAGAAGGUCCUGCUCACCCAGGUGUCUCUUUGACUGGUGCUGGCUGGAUCCUGGUUCCAUGUUGCUGCUCUCCUGCUGGGAUGGGGAGUGGGAAAGAACUUGUCUCCACCCAUUGAGCAAAUCUCAGCUCAGCCACCAACCCGUGCUAUUUCACGUUCCUCCUCCUGGCCAGCUCUCCUGUCGCCCACCACCUGGCCGAGGACUUGGCUCCAUGCUGCCAACUAAGAGCAAAGAGAGCCAUCUCCUUCCAUGGCAUUCCUCAUUUCUUAGCCUGAACGGGGCCUGGCAAGCCAUGGAACCGGAUUCGUGUUUGGAUCUGGACUGCUGUCUGUAUGCGGCCACUUCCAGUUUCUCAAGGGCCCUCUUCUUCACCUGGGGUCCGUGGGCACCAUAUUAAAGCUUGCUUCAUUCCAGGGAUGGGGAACCUGCUGCCCUCCAGCCAUUGCUGGACUCCAGUGCCCAUCAGUCCCAGCCAGCAAGGCCAGUGGGUGGUCAUGGAUGAUGGGAGUUCUAGCGUGGCAGUAUAUAGGGGGUCAUAGGUUUCUCAUCCCUGCUGGAAGUCUCUGCAUCUCUUGGCGCUGCCCUCUCCCUCCCUUUUCCCCUGCCCCUUCCUGUAGUUGUUGCCACCAAAUGGCACCUGGCAUUGUUUCCUUGCAAUAUUGCACAUGCAGGCAGUGGGGUCAGCUGCCAUGCUUGCAAGGUGUGACCCUGGGCCUGUUUGGCGAGAGGCACUGGAGCGUAAUUGAGAAUCACUCUGCAUCCUGGAGGUUUGGGCUGCGUUCAAACAGCGUCCCUGAGCACAGACUUGCAAGUUAAUCUGUCGGUGCUGCCAUUUAGGGGCUGAGCUGCGUCUUGGAGGGUGGAUUAACACUGGGCAGCUGUCCGAGUAGCAGGUGUGGCUGUCAUUUCCAUUGGAUAAGGAUUUGGUCUCAGGGGAGAGCUGAACCCCGUGGCUCUCCAACCCCAUAUCCACAUAUCCCUCGCUCCAGCUCCAAAGUUAGAAAUGAGCCCUGGGUUUCGGGGUGGGGUUUGAAAUGUCUUCUGGGAGGGGCUACAGGGGAAAAGCAAUGGCUAGAGGCAAAAUUCAGGGCCGCCCCUCCAACUUCACUGACUGUUUCCCUUACUGCAUUGGAUCCAGACCGUAAGAAUGCAUAAAUACUAAUCCGUUAGUACGUCAGUCAUUAUUUAUUUAGACACUUGAUAUAUGCCUUAUAUUUUAGAAAACCAACCAACCGCUUACACUUCCUCCUCCCUUCCUGCUUGUUAUUUUUGUGAUGACCUUUGGUUAGCCACACAACCACACUGCUGCAAUAAUUAAUCCCACUGAAAAUGGUCACCAGGAAAUUUGCACGCUCAGACUUGCAUUUGUUUGAAGCAUUUUUAGUUCCCUCUUCGUAUGAAAAAGGUCACCCGGAGUGGCUUAUGGAGAAUAACCUUCCCUGCUCUCAAGGUUGCAAUCUUAAAAACAUGACACCAAAGGAAAA